UGAUUCCUUCUACACCAACUAGUAAUGAGCAUCCAGUCAAAAAUAAAAAAUCUAAUGGACAAGCUAAUGGGACUCAUAUUGGAUCUUAUCUUGUUUUGGUUUAUCACCUUUUUUUUCUUUCCAGUGACAAUAGUUUAUAAUUCACCGUGAAAAUGAUUUUGAAAUACAAAAUUUAAACAUAGGGUUUGGGUGAUUUGUCUUUAAGGGAACUGAUUUCCCUCAUGAAAAAUGUACUAUCAAUGGGUGGUCACAUAGGCUUACAAUUUCUCUAAAUCUCACCUUUUUUUUUUUUUUUUACAAAAAUCUAAAUCUCACUUUUAUCCCACAUAUUUUUCAUAAAAACAAAAUUAACAUUUUAGCACAUUUCUGUCUAUCACAGCAAGAAGGGGUUGGAAUCUUUGAUGUGAAUUGACCGACGAACCAAGAUAAUUGCUCCACGAGAAAUUUAUGGUUUAAAUGGAGGGGUGAAGGUGAAGAUGAGAUAGAGGAAGAAGGAAGGAGCCUGUAGCGAAUAACAAAGAGAAAUGGAGAGAGGAGGAAAAUGAUUCUUAGCCUAGGGAUUAUACAGAAGUGCAUAAAUGUAAUUACCUUGUAUGGGGCCAUGGACAAAAAAAAAGAAGUGAAACCUGAUGUAGAAGGUCAAUUAGUGAGGACCAUGGAUGAACCUUUAAA
rnacentral:lncRNA from 1 species